rnacentral:lncRNA from 1 species
AGCUAACUGUUGGCAAGAAGAAGACAGUGAACCACAGGACUGAGACAAAACUGGAGCACUCAAUAUAUCUUGAAGGGAAAUAUACCGGGAUCUGUAGGGGGCAGAGAGAAAGAAAGACAGAGACGGAGAGAGCACAUUAUCACACAUAGUCAAAAGAUCUCCAAAUGCUUCGGGUCCCAUAUUAGGUAAUGAAUCUCCAGCAGAAAGCAAGUUAAUGAGAAAUAUAUUGACACACUGGUGUUACUGUGGACCUGUAGCAAGAACAGAAUAACAUCUGCUUACGGCAGGGAAAUAUACCGGGAUCUGUAGGGGGCAGAGAGAAAGAAAGACAGAGACGGAGAGAGCACAUUAUCACACAUAGUCAAAAGAUCUCCAAAUGCUUCGGGUCCCAUAUUAGUCGUUGUGCAUGUGAGGAACCCUUCAAUGAAGAAACCAUCCAGACUCAGCCUCAGACGGUACACCCGCAAUCCGUUCACGGUUCACUGACAAGACUAUAUCUGAAAAUUGCUAGUUCAAAUCUGAUUGGCUGACUUCAUGCAACUUCCAGAUGAAGUAAGCCUGUGAGUGGAGUGACUUGUUCUGUCAGAAAAAGAGAAAGGUAGGAGAAGCAUGCACGUUGACUAUAUAUACGUUGAGAAUAUAUACAUGUUUUUAUUCAUAUAUUUAUAGAAAUAGCCUUGUGCAAUAAUUACAUUUGUACAGUUGUAUAUGCUAAUCUUUUUGUGCUUUCUGUGUAGCAUAAAAGGACAAAUGUUUUAAAAUGACAAAAAACACAAUAAAAGUAUUUGACGAGCAUAAGAUUAUGCGUUACUGUUCGCAAGUUUUGGGUUACUCCAGUUCUCAUUAUAUAAAUAUUUAGUAUCAUCUUUGAUCAAUUUAGGGCAUCCUGGCUGAAUAAAAUAAUUUAUUUCUAAAUAAAUAAAUAAAUAAUGCCACAGUUUUGAACAGUAUAGAAACUCUCCAUUUAAAUGAUCCAGCUGCAGAGGUUUUAAGAGAAAAAUAAAUAAAAUAUGAAUCAUAUUGACACAUUUUAUGGAAACAUAUUUAUAUUGUGCUUUGCAUGCUUUCUGAAACAUGAAAGUUUGUCAUUCAUAUCCACAGGCAGUACAUUCUUCAGCACUUCUCCUUUCACAAAGUAAAGUCAUACAGUGAGUGAUUACAUGUUGGCAAAAUGUUAAUUUCCCUUUUUUAGGUUUCAAGGCGAUGCUGUAAUAUAUUGCUAACUUUCACUGUUGCUCUGAGGUUGCAGCGUUUGUUAAAAGUGCAUGCAGCUUAGCACACGGUUUUCCAUUAUCAUCAUGUUUAGCACUUGACAGCUGCCAUCUCGAUAAGCAUAAGAUGCCACAAAUGAUUAAUACAGCUCAUGGAAGUUUAUGGACAAAGUUAAGAGCAUAA